rnacentral:rRNA from 1 species
GACGAACGCUGGCGGCGUGCUUAACACAUGCAAGUCGAACGGAAAGGCCCUGCUUUUGUGGGGUGCUCGAGUGGCGAACGGGUGAGUAACACGUGAGUAACCUGCCCUUGACUUUGGGAUAACUUCAGGAAACUGGGGCUAAUACCGGAUAGGAGCUCCUGCUGCAUGGUGGUGGUUGGAAAGUUUCGGCGGUUGGGGAUGGACUCGCGGCUUAUCAGCUUGUUGGUGGGGUAGUGGCUUACCAAGGCUUUGACGGGUAGCCGGCCUGAGAGGGUGACCGGCCACAUUGGGACUGAGAUACGGCCCAGACUCCUACGGGAGGCAGCAGUGGGGAAUAUUGCACAAGGGGCGGAAGCCUGAUGCAGCAACGCCGCGUGCGGGAUGACGGCCUUCGGGUUGUAAACCGCUUUCGCCUGUGACGAAGCGUGAGUGACGGGAAUGGGGAAAGAAGCACCGGCUAACUACGU